GUAAGAGAUUUGUCCCUUUUAUUUUCCCUGGAUGGACACAUGUAUGUUGUACACUCCCCAUUUUGGAUUGUCACUAAUGCACAAAACACAGAACAUCACAACAGAAGCAGCACCCUUUCGCAUUAAAAACAGGACAUUGCUAAGGAAAAGGACAGAGGCAUUGGUAGACGAUCUAACUCUCUCAUUAAAAUACACACAGAGACUUAUAAGAAGCUCGACAUCCAUUACAAGGUCCUUCCUUUCCACGGUUCAUUUCUGGGAGAACCUUGUCAGAAUUAACUCUCGGGCUUCGUCCCAAACAUCUAGUAUUAUCAGGGACCACGACAACAUGACACUGUGACUGUAACCACGGUACUGUAGGUACAGGGACUACAACAUGACACGGCUGUAACCACGGUACUGUAGGUACAGGGACUACAACAACAUGACACUGUGGCUGUAACCACGGUACUGUAGGUACAGGGACUACAACAACAUGACACUGUGGCUGUAACCACGGUACUGUAGGUACAGGGACUACAACAACAUGACACUGUGGCUGUAACCACGGUACUGUAGGUACAGGGACUACAACAUGACACGGCUGUAACCACGGUACUGUAGGUACAGGGACUACAACAACAUGACACGGCUGUAAC